AUGUAACUUAAUUAAAGUACCUUGUUUACACCAAGAUUAUGUCUGUGAAGCCCAGAUCAUUUUGAG
rnacentral:tRNA from 1 species